GGUUAAGCGACUAAGCGUACACGGUGGAUGCCCUGGCAGUCAGAGGCGAUGAAGGACGUGCUAAUCUGCGAUAAGCGUCGGUAAGGUGAUAUGAACCGUUAUAACCGGCGAUUUCCGAAUGGGGAAACCCAGUGUGAUUCGUCACACUAUCAUUAACUGAAUCCAUAGGUUAAUGAGGCGAACCGGGGGAACUGAAACAUCUAAGUACCCCGAGGAAAAGAAAUCAACCGAGAUUCCCCCAGUAGCGGCGAGCGAACGGGGAGCAGCCCAGAGCCUGAAUCAGUGUGUGUGUUAGUGGAAGCGUCUGGAAAGGCGCGCGAUACAGGGUGACAGCCCCGUACACAAAAAUGCACAUGCUGUGAGCUCGAUGAGUAGGGCGGGACACGUGGUAUCCUGUCUGAAUAUGGGGGGACCAUCCUCCAAGGCUAAAUACUCCUGACUGACCGAUAGUGAACCAGUACCGUGAGGGAAAGGCGAAAAGAACCCCGGCGAGGGGAGUGAAAAAGAACCUGAAACCGUGUACGUACAAGCAGUGGGAGCACGCUUAGGCGUGUGACUGCGUACCUUUUGUAUAAUGGGUCAGCGACUUAUAUUCUGUAGCAAGGUUAACCGAAUAGGGGAGCCGAAGGGAAACCGAGUCUUAACUGGGCGUUAAGUUGCAGGGUAUAGACCCGAAACCCGGUGAUCUAGCCAUGGGCAGGUUGAAGGUUGGGUAACACUAACUGGAGGACCGAACCGACUAAUGUUGAAAAAUUAGCGGAUGACUUGUGGCUGGGGGUGAAAGGCCAAUCAAACCGGGAGAUAGCUGGUUCUCCCCGAAAGCUAUUUAGGUAGCGCCUCGUGAAUUCAUCUCCGGGGGUAGAGCACUGUUUCGGCAAGGGGGUCAUCCCGACUUACCAACCCGAUGCAAACUGCGAAUACCGGAGAAUGUUAUCACGGGAGACACACGGCGGGUGCUAACGUCCGUCGUGAAGAGGGAAACAACCCAGACCGCCAGCUAAGGUCCCAAAGUCAUGGUUAAGUGGGAAACGAUGUGGGAAGGCCCAGACAGCCAGGAUGUUGGCUUAGAAGCAGCCAUCAUUUAAAGAAAGCGUAAUAGCUCACUGGUCGAGUCGGCCUGCGCGGAAGAUGUAACGGGGCUAAACCAUGCACCGAAGCUGCGGCAGCGACACUGUGUGUUGUUGGGUAGGGGAGCGUUCUGUAAGCCUGCGAAGGUGUGCUGUGAGGCAUGCUGGAGGUAUCAGAAGUGCGAAUGCUGACAUAAGUAACGAUAAAGCGGGUGAAAAGCCCGCUCGCCGGAAGACCAAGGGUUCCUGUCCAACGUUAAUCGGGGCAGGGUGAGUCGACCCCUAAGGCGAGGCCGAAAGGCGUAGUCGAUGGGAAACAGGUUAAUAUUCCUGUACUUGGUGUUACUGCGAAGGGGGGACGGAGAAGGCUAUGUUGGCCGGGCGACGGUUGUCCCGGUUUAAGCGUGUAGGCUGGUUUUCCAGGCAAAUCCGGAAAAUCAAGGCUGAGGCGUGAUGACGAGGCACUACGGUGCUGAAGCAACAAAUGCCCUGCUUCCAGGAAAAGCCUCUAAGCAUCAGGUAACAUCAAAUCGUACCCCAAACCGACACAGGUGGUCAGGUAGAGAAUACCAAGGCGCUUGAGAGAACUCGGGUGAAGGAACUAGGCAAAAUGGUGCCGUAACUUCGGGAGAAGGCACGCUGAUAUGUAGGUGAAGUCCCUCGCGGAUGGAGCUGAAAUCAGUCGAAGAUACCAGCUGGCUGCAACUGUUUAUUAAAAACACAGCACUGUGCAAACACGAAAGUGGACGUAUACGGUGUGACGCCUGCCCGGUGCCGGAAGGUUAAUUGAUGGGGUCAGCGCAAGCGAAGCUCUUGAUCGAAGCCCCGGUAAACGGCGGCCGUAACUAUAACGGUCCUAAGGUAGCGAAAUUCCUUGUCGGGUAAGUUCCGACCUGCACGAAUGGCGUAAUGAUGGCCAGGCUGUCUCCACCCGAGACUCAGUGAAAUUGAACUCGCUGUGAAGAUGCAGUGUACCCGCGGCAAGACGGAAAGACCCCGUGAACCUUUACUAUAGCUUGACACUGAACAUUGAGCCUUGAUGUGUAGGAUAGGUGGGAGGCUUUGAAGUGUGGACGCCAGUCUGCAUGGAGCCGACCUUGAAAUACCACCCUUUAAUGUUUGAUGUUCUAACGUUGACCCGUGAUCCGGGUUGCGGACAGUGUCUGGUGGGUAGUUUGACUGGGGCGGUCUCCUCCUAAAGAGUAACGGAGGAGCACGAAGGUUGGCUAAUCCUGGUCGGACAUCAGGAGGUUAGUGCAAUGGCAUAAGCCAGCUUGACUGCGAGCGUGACGGCGCGAGCAGGUGCGAAAGCAGGUCAUAGUGAUCCGGUGGUUCUGAAUGGAAGGGCCAUCGCUCAACGGAUAAAAGGUACUCCGGGGAUAACAGGCUGAUACCGCCCAAGAGUUCAUAUCGACGGCGGUGUUUGGCACCUCGAUGUCGGCUCAUCACAUCCUGGGGCUGAAGUAGGUCCCAAGGGUAUGGCUGUUCGCCAUUUAAAGUGGUACGCGAGCUGGGUUUAGAACGUCGUGAGACAGUUCGGUCCCUAUCUGCCGUGGGCGCUGGAGAACUGAGGGGGGCUGCUCCUAGUACGAGAGGACCGGAGUGGACGCAUCACUGGUGUUCGGGUUGUCAUGCCAAUGGCACUGCCCGGUAGCUAAAUGCGGAAGAGAUAAGUGCUGAAAGCAUCUAAGCACGAAACUUGCCCCGAGAUGAGUUCUCCCUGACUCCUUGAGAGUCCUGAAGGAACGUUGAAGACGACGACGUUGAUAGGCCGGGUGUGUAAGCGCAGCGAUGCGUUGAGCUAACCGGUACUAAUGAACCGUGAGGCUUAACCUUACAACGCCGAAGGUGUUU
rnacentral:rRNA from 1 species